UACGGAGGGUGCUAGCGUUGUUCGGAAUUACUGGGCGUAAAGGGCGCGUAGGCGGCCGUUUGCGUCGGAUGUGAAAGCCCGGGGCUCAACCUCGGAACGACAUUCGAUACGGGACGGCUGGAGACCGGGAGAGGAGAGUGGAAUAGCCAGUGUAGAGGUGAAAUUCGUAGAUAUUGGCAAGAACACCAGUGGCGAAGGCGGCUCACUGGCCCGAUACUGACGCUGAGGCACGAAAGCGUGGGGAGCAAACAGG
rnacentral:rRNA from 1 species